GGGCGCUUAGCUCAGCUGGUUAGAGCGCCACGUUUACACCGUGGAAGUCGGAGGUUCGAAUCCCCCAGCGCCCA
rnacentral:tRNA from 1 species